rnacentral:ncRNA from 2 species
AACACGCCACAGGGGAGCGAAAGCUGAGAAAGGUUAAGACCUGACCCUCAAUACCUGAUCUGGGUAAUACCAGCGAAGGGAGUGAUGCAAGACAGAGU